rnacentral:rRNA from 1 species
GAUGAACGCUAGCGAUAGGCUUAACACAUGCAAGUCGAGGGGUAACGUGUUGGAAGCUUGCUUCCGAUGACGACGACCGGCGGAUGGGUGCGUAACGCGUAUGCAACUUGCCUCACAGAGGAGAAUAACCCGGAGAAAUCCGGACUAAUGCUCCAUACACUCUUUAGCACGCCUGUGCGUAAGAGGAAAGAUUUAUCGCUGUGAGAUAGGCAUGCGUCCUAUUAGGUAGUUGGUGAGGUAACGGCUCACCAAGCCGACGAUAGGUAGGGGUGCUGAGAGGCAGAUCCCCCACAUUGGGACUGAGACACGGCCCAAACUCCUACGGGAGGCAGCAGUGAGGAAUAUUGGUCAAUGGAGGAAACUCUGAACCAGCCAAGUCGCGUGAAGGAAGAAUGUCCUAAGGAUUGUAAACUUCUUUAGCGAGUGAGUAAGGACUUCCACGCGUUGGGAGUUUGAAAGUAGCUCGAGAAUAAGUAUCGGCUAACUCCGUGCCAGCAGCCGCGGUAAUACGGAGGAUACGAGCGUUAUCCGGAUUUAUUGGGUUUAAAGGGUGCGCCAGGUGGUCCUGCAAGUCAGUGGUGAAAAGCUGAGGCUCAACCUCAGCCUUGCCGUUGAAACUGCAAGACUUGAGAGUACAUGAUGUGGGCGGAAUGCGUAGUGUAGCGGUGAAAUGCAUAGAUAUUACGCAGAACUCCGAUUGCGAAGGCAGCUCACAAAGGUAUAUCUGACACUGAGGCACGAAAGCGUGGGGAGCAAACAGGAUUAGAUACCCUGGUAGUCCACGCCGUAAACGAUGAUUACUCGAAGUAUGCGAUAUGACAGUAUGCUUCCAAGCGAAAGUGAUAAGUAAUCCACCUGGGGAGUACGCCGGCAACGGUGAAACUCAAAGGAAUUGACGGGGGCCCGCACAAGCGGAGGAACAUGUGGUUUAAUUCGAUGAUACGCGAGGAACCUUACCCGGGAUUGAAAUGUAUGUGCGCCUCUUGGGAAACCGAGAGGGUUCUCUUCGGAGACACAUAUGUAGGUGCUGCAUGGUUGUCGUCAGCUCGUGCCGUGAGGUGUCGGCUUAAGUGCCAUAACGAGCGCAACCCUUAUCGUCAGUUACUAACAGGUUAAGCUGAGGACUCUGGCGAGACUGCCGUCGUAAGGCGAGAGGAAGGUGGGGAUGACGUCAAAUCAGCACGGCCCUUACAUCCGGGGCGACACACGUGUUACAAUGGUAGGGACAGAGAGUAGCCACUCGGCGACGAGGAGCGGAUCUUGAAACCCUAUCUCAGUUCGGAUCGGAGUCUGCAACUCGACUCCGUGAAGCCGGAUUCGCUAGUAAUCGCGCAUCAGCCAUGGCGCGGUGAAUACGUUCCCGGGCCU